ACGCGUAGGUGGUCCUUCAAGUCAGAUGUCAAAUACUCCUGGCUUAACUGGGAGUGGUCAUUUGUAUACUGCUGGACUUGAGGGUGGUAGAGGGAGGUGGAAUUCCCGGUGUAGUGGUGAAAUGCGUAGAUAUCGGGAGGAACACCAGUGGCGAAAGCGGCCUCCUAGGCCACUCCUGACACUGAGGCGCGAAAGCGUGGGGAGCGAACAGGAUCAGAUACCCUGGUAGUCCACGCCCUAAACUGUGGAAACUAGGUACAGGGAGUAUCGACCCUUCCUGCGCCCGUAGCUAACGCGUUAAGUUUCCCGCCUGGGGACUACGGUCGCAAGACUAAA
rnacentral:rRNA from 1 species